rnacentral:rRNA from 1 species
GACGAACGCUGGCGGCGUGCCUAAUACAUGCAAGUAGAACGCUGAAGAGAGGAGCUUGCUCUUCUUGGAUGAGUUGCGAACGGGUGAGUAACGCGUAGGUAACCUGCCUUGUAGCGGGGGAUAACUAUUGGAAACGAUAGCUAAUACCGCAUAACAAUGGAUGACACAUGUCAUUUAUUUGAAAGGGGCAAUUGCUCCACUACAAGAUGGACCUGCGUUGUAUUAGCUAGUAGGCGAGGUAAUGGCUCACCUAGGCGACGAUACAUAGCCGACCUGAGAGGGUGAUCGGCCACACUGGGACUGAGACACGGCCCAGACUCCUACGGGAGGCAGCAGUAGGGAAUCUUCGGCAAUGGGGGCAACCCUGACCGAGCAACGCCGCGUGAGUGAAGAAGGUUUUCGGAUCGUAAAGCUCUGUUGUAAGUCAAGAACGGGUGUGAGAGUGGAAAGCUCACACUGUGACGGUAGCUUACCAGAAAGGGACGGCUAACUACGUG